AGAGUUUGAUCAUGGCUCAGAUUGAACGCUGGCGGCAGGCCUAACACAUGCAAGUCGAGCGGUAGCACGGGGAGCUUGCUCCUGGGUGACGAGCGGCGGACGGGUGAGUAAUGUCUGGGAAACUGCCUGAUGGAGGGGGAUAACUACUGGAAACGGUAGCUAAUACCGCAUAACGUCGCAAGACCAAAGAGGGGGACCUUCGGGCCUCUUGCCAUCAGAUGUGCCCAGAUGGGAUUAGCUAGUAGGUGGGGUAAUGGCUCACCUAGGCGACGAUCCCUAGCUGGUCUGAGAGGAUGACCAGCCACACUGGAACUGAGACACGGUCCAGACUCCUACGGGAGGCAGCAGUGGGGAAUAUUGCACAAUGGGCGCAAGCCUGAUGCAGCCAUGCCGCGUGUAUGAAGAAGGCCUUCGGGUUGUAAAGUACUUUCAGCGAGGAGGAAGGCGGUGAGGUUAAUAACCUCAUCGAUUGACGUUACUCGCAGAAGAAGCACCGGCUAACUCCGUGCCAGCAGCCGCGGUAAUACGGAGGGUGCAAGCGUUAAUCGGAAUUACUGGGCGUAAAGCGCACGCAGGCGGUCUGUCAAGUCGGAUGUGAAAUCCCCGGGCUCAACCUGGGAACUGCAUUCGAAACUGGCAGGCUAGAGUCUUGUAGAGGGGGGUAGAAUUCCAGGUGUAGCGGUGAAAUGCGUAGAGAUCUGGAGGAAUACCGGUGGCGAAAGCGGCCCCCUGGACAAAGACUGACGCUCAGUGCGAAAGCGUGGGGAGCAAACAGAUUAGAUACCCUGGUAGUCCACGCCGUAAACGAUGUCGACUUGGAGGUUGUUCCCUUGAGGAGUGGCUUCCCGGAGCUAACGCGUUAAGUCGACCGCCUGGGGGAG
rnacentral:rRNA from 1 species